CAUGCAAGUCGAGGGGUAGAUAUCUUCGGAUAUUGAGACCGGCGCACGGGUGCGUAACGCGUAUGCAAUCUACCUUAUACAGGGGGAUAGCCCAGAGAAAUUUGGAUUAAUACCCCAUAGUAUAGUUGAAUGGCAUCAUUUGACUAUUAAAGUUCCAACGGUAUAAGAUGAGCAUGCGUCCCAUUAGCUAGUUGGUGUGGUAACGGCACACCAAGGCAACGAUGGGUAGGGGUCCUGAGAGGGAGAUCCCCCACACUGGUACUGAGACACGGACCAGACUCCUACGGGAGGCAGCAGUGAGGAAUAUUGGUCAAUGGGCGCAAGCCUGAACCAGCCAUGCCGCGUGCAGGAUGACGGUCCUAUGGAUUGUAAACUGCUUUU
rnacentral:rRNA from 1 species